AAGUUGUACUGAAGUUUCCUGAUGUGGAUGUUAUGCCUUUUGCACAUGAGAAGUUUUUUUUUUAAACCAGCCUAAGCUGGACCCAUCAGACGGGUCCAUUUAGUUGGUUUUAGAAGUUUGGGCAUUUGACAAUCUAGCUGAUGUCACAAUACACCUUUAGUAACCCUACAGACCUCACUGACCUUUCCCAGUGCCAGCAGUGUCCCACACAUUAUGCCUGUCUUUGAGGUGUCAUACUACCUUCAGAGUUGAAUGCCAUGUAAUUACUUGUAUUCAAUUACUAUUUAACAAUUUCUGCUUUUACAGGCACUGGUGGCAUCCAGAGGCCUCCACUUCUUUGCUUUCCUGGGCAUUACUGUCCUGUGGGCACUAUGUUUCCCACUCAGCACAAGUGUCCAGCUGGUACCUGGAGCGAUCGCAGUGGACAGGAGUCAGAGCGUGAGUGCCGGCCGUGCCCGAGAGACUGGUACUGUUUAGCAGGAGUGGGCACUCCCUCUGGGAGAUACAACUCUGGACACUACUGUCCUGAAGGGCAACAUUUCGUCGGCUAAAGUGGGGCCGGAGAGCAGAGGAUUGUUCUGUGUGUCCUGCUGGCUACUUCUGUCCUCAUCCGGCCACAAUCAAUCCAAAGUUUGUGGAACAGGAAGUUUUUCUGAUGAGGGGUCAUUGGAGUGUCAGCCAUGUUUGCCGGGUCACUACUGCAGCAAUGAGACCACCAGUGAAGAGGCCAUGCUCAGAGUAAUGGUCUGCCCCCCAGGUUUCCUCUGCUCACAGGGCCUGGAUCGAGAACCCCAGCGCUCAGCGGUAUUCUGCCCAAUAGGCUUUUACUGUCCUGAUGGAAGUGUUGUAAGUAUCAUUUCAAGGGUCAGAAACAUUACGAAC
ensembl:lncRNA